rnacentral:rRNA from 1 species
AUGGAGCCGGCGGCGGCGGACGGGGCCUCGGACGAGCCGGUGCACAAGGGGCGGACCAACUCCAUCCUGCUCCCCAUCCUCGCCGUGCUCCUCGCCUACCUGCUCUACCGCUACCUCCGCCCGCGCCUCCGCGGCCUGCGCCUCGACCGCCUCCCGUUCCGCGUCCCGGACUGCCUCCGCCGCCGCGGCAAUGCCACCCGGACCACCCUGCUGCCCUACUUCGCGCCCAUCGCCGACCGCCUCGGCGCGCUGCAGCCCUACCUCGGCCCCAUCGCCGACCGCCUCGGCGGGUACGGCGGCGCCGACGCGCUCGUCAGGUUCCCCGGCGGCGAGGGCCUGUCGGUGGCCGCCAUCCUCGAGGCGCCUGGGGAGGUGGUGGCCAAGUCGUCGCACAGCACGCUCUACCGCGCCGCCAUGCGCUCCGGGGAGACGGCCGUGCUGCUCCGGUUCGUGCGGCCCGCGUGCGCCGUGGGCGCCGACGAGGCCGCCGCCGCCGCGCGCCGGAUCGGCGCCGUCAGCCACCCGAACCUCGUGCCGCUCCGCGCCGUGUACGUCGGGCCCAGGGGCGAGAAGCUGCUCGUGCACCCUUACGCCGCCGGCUCGCUCCACCGAUUCUUGCAAGAGGGGAUCGCCGACUCGCAGAGAUGGAGCCUGAUCUGCAAGCUCUCCGUGUGCAUCGCCAAGGGGCUCGACCACCUGCACACGGGGAUGGAGAAGCCGAUCAUCCACGGCAACCUCAAGACGAGCAACAUCCUCCUCGACGCCAGCUACGAGUGCAGGAUCUCGGACUACGGCCUCUACCUCCUGCUCAACACCGGCGGCGCCCACGAGAUGCUGGAGGCGUCGGCGGCGCAGGGGUACAAGGCGCCGGAGCUGGUCAAGAUGAGGGACGCCACCAGGGAGAGCGACGUGUACAGCCUGGGCGUGGUGCUGCUGGAGAUGCUCGCGCAGAAGGAGCCCGCCGGCGACGACGACCGCGCGCCCAGCUCCCGCGACAUCUUCCUGCCGGCGUCGUUCAAGAACCUGGUGCUCGAGAGGAAGAUCUCCGACGCCUUCAGCUCCGACCUCGUCAGGCAGAGCAGGAAGUCGGGGAACGAGAAGAAGCUGAACGCGUUCUUCGAGCUGGCCACGGCGUGCUGCAGCCCUUCGCCGUCGCUCCGGCCCAACACCAAGGAGAUACUCAGAAGGCUUGAGGAGAUAGCAAAAUAA